rnacentral:rRNA from 1 species
GACGAACGCUGGCGGCGUGCUUAACACAUGCAAGUCGAGCGGUAAGGCCCUUUCGGGGGUACACGAGCGGCGAACGGGUGAGUAACACGUGGGUGACCUGCCCUCAGCUCUGGGAUAAGCCUGGGAAACCGGGUCUAAUACUGGAUAUGACUCCAUGACGCAUGUUGUGGGGUGGAAAGCCUUGUGCGGCUGAGGAUGGGCCCGCGGCCUAUCAGCUUGUUGGUGGGGUGANGGCCUAUCAAGGCGACGACGGGUAGCCGGCCUGAGAGGGCGACCGGCCACACUGGGACUGAGACACGGCCCAGACUCCUACGGGAGGCAGCAGUGGGGAAUCUUGCGCAAUGGGCGAAAGCCUGACGCAGCGACGCCGCGUGAGGGAUGACGGCCU